GAAGUGGUGGUUCAGUGGUAGAAUUCUCACCUUCCAUUUGGGAGACUUGGGUUUGAUUCCUGGCCAAUGCU
rnacentral:tRNA from 1 species